rnacentral:rRNA from 1 species
GUGGGGAAUUUUGCGCAAUGGGGGAAACCCUGACGCAGCAACGCCGCGUGAGUGAUGAAGGCCUUCGGGUCGUAAAGCUCUGUCAGAGGGGAAGAAAUGCAGGGGUGCUAAUAUCAUCUUUGCUUGACGGUACCCUCAAAGGAAGCACCGGCUAACUCCGUGCCAGCAGCCGCGGUAAUACGGAGGGUGCGAGCGUUGUUCGGAAUUAUUGGGCGUAAAGCGCGUGUAGGCGGUUUGAUAAGUCUGAUGUGAAAGCCCCGGGCUCAACCUGGGAAGUGCAUUGGAAACUGUCAGACUUGAAUACGGGAGAGGGUAGUGGAAUUCCUAGUGUAGGAGUGAAAUCCGUAGAUAUUAGGAGGAACACCGGUGGCGAAGGCGGCUACCUGGACCGAUAUUGACGCUGAGACGCGAAAGCGUGGGGAGCAAACAGGAUUAGAUACCCCUGUAGUCC